rnacentral:rRNA from 1 species
AGUGAACGCUGGCGGUAGGCCUAACACAUGCAAGUCGAACGGCAGCACAGUAAGAGCUUGCUCUUACGGGUGGCGAGUGGCGGACGGGUGAGGAAUACAUCGGAAUCUACUUUUUCGUGGGGGAUAACGUAGGGAAACUUACGCUAAUACCGCAUACGACCUACGGGUGAAAGCAGGGGAUCAUCGGACCUUGCGCGAUUGAAUGAGCCGAUGUCGGAUUAGCUAGUUGGCGGGGUAAAGGCCCACCAAGGCGACGAUCCGUAGCUGGUCUGAGAGGAUGAUCAGCCACACUGGAGCUGAGACACGGUCCAGACUCCUACGGGAGGCAGCAGUGGGGAAUAUUGGACAAUGGGCGCAAGCCUGAUCCAGCCAUACCGCGUGGGUGAAGAAGGCCUUCGGGUUGUAAAGCCCUUUUGUUGGGAAAGAAAAGCAGCAGGUUAAUACCCCGCUGUUCUGACGGUACCCAAAGAAUAAGCACCGGCUAACUUCGG